CGGGGUAUAGCUGAAUCCGGCUUAGCACCGCGUUUGGGACGCGGAGACGUAGGUUCAAAUCCUACUAUCCCGACCA
rnacentral:tRNA from 1 species